GAUGAACGCCGGCGGUGUGCCUAAUACAUGCAAGUCGUACGCACUGGCCCAACUGAUUGAUGGUGCUUGCACCUGAUUGACGAUGGAUCACCAGUGAGUGGCGGACGGGUGAGUAACACGUAGGUAACCUGCCCCGGAGCGGGGGAUAACAUUUGGAAACAGAUGCUAAUACCGCAUAACAACAAAAGCCACAUGGCUUUUGUUUGAAAGAUGGCUUUGGCUAUCACUCUGGGAUGGACCUGCGGUGCAUUAGCUAGUUGGUGGGGUAACGGCCUACCAAGGCGACGAUCAGUAGCCGGCCUGAGAGGGUGAACGGCCACAUUGGGACUGAGACACGGCCCAA
rnacentral:rRNA from 1 species